rnacentral:rRNA from 1 species
UACAGAGGUCUCGAGCGUUGUUCGGAUUCAUUGGGCGUAAAGGGUGCGUAGGUGGCGCUGUAAGUCGGGUGUGAAAUCCUGAGGCUUAACCUCGGAACUGCAUUCGAUACUGCGGCGCUUGAGGACUGGAGAGGAGACUGGAAUUCAUGGUGUAGCAGUGAAAUGCGUAGAGAUCAUGAGGAAGACCAGUGGCGAAGGCGGGUCUCGUGGACAGUUCCUGACACUGAGGCACGAAGGCCAGGGAGCAAACGGG